UGAGGAAUAUUGGGCAAUGGAGGCAACUCUGACCCAGCCAUGCCGCGUGAGUGAAGAAGGUUUUCGGAUUGUAAAGCUCUUUCGCACGGGACGAUGAUGACGGUACCGUGAUAAGAAGCCCCGGCUAACUUCGUGCCAGCAGCCGCGGUAAUACGUAGGGGGCAAGCGUUAUCCGGAUUUACUGGGUGUAAAGGGAGCGUAGACGGCAUGACAAGCCAGAUGUGAAAACCCAGGGCUCAACCCUGGGACUGCAUUUGGAACUGCCAGGCUGGAGUGCAGGAGAGGUAAGCGGAAUUCCUAGUGUACCGGUGAAAUGCGUAGAUAUUAGGAGGAACACCAGUGGCGAAGGCGGCUUACUGGACUGUAACUGACGUUGAGGCUCGAAAGCGUGGGGAGCAAACAGGAUUAGAUACC
rnacentral:rRNA from 1 species